GUACUGUGCGAACGUUACUCGGAAUUACUGGGCUUAAAGGGUGUGUAGGCGGCUGAUUAAGUAGGGUGUGAAAGGCUCCGGCCUAACCGGAGCAUUGCGCUCUAAACUGAUCGGCUUGAGUGAGAUAGGGGUGUGCGGAACUUCCAGUGGAGCGGUGAAAUGCGUUGAUAUUGGAAGGAACGCCGGUGGCGAAAGCGGCACACUGGGUCUUAACUGACGCUGAGACACGAAAGCCAGGGGAGCGAACGGGAUUGGAUACCCCGGUAGUCCUGGCUGUAAACGAUGAGCACUAGUUGGGAGGGGCUUCGGCCCAUCCGAACGCAGAGAAAUCAUUAAGUGCUCCGCCUGGGGAGUAUGGUCGCAAGGCUG
rnacentral:rRNA from 1 species